rnacentral:rRNA from 1 species
UAGGGAAUAUUGGACAAUGGGUGAGAGCCUGAUCCAGCCAUGCCGCGUGCAGGAAGAAGGCGUUAUGCGUUGUAAACUGCUUUUUGCCAGGGGAUAAAAAGACCGUGCGCGGUUAAUUGAAGGUACCUGGUGAAUAAGCCACGGCUAACUACGUGCCAGCAGCCGCGGUAAUACGUAGGGACCAAGCGUUGUUCGGAUUUACUGGGCGUAAAGGGCGCGUAGGCGGCAAUUCAAGUCAUCUGUGAAAUCUCCGGGCUUAACUCGGAACGGUCAGAUGAUACUGCUUUGCUAGAGUGCAGAAGGGGCAAUCGGAAUUCUUGGUGUAGCGGUGAAAUGCGUAGAUAUCAAGAGGAACACCUGAGGUGAAGACGGGUUGCUGGAUCGGUACUGACGCUGAGGUGCGAAAGCGUGGGGAGCAAACAGGAUUAGAUACCCCAGUAGUCCCUGAGCGGGCUGGCAAGGCGCAU